CUACGGAGGGGGCUAGCGUUGUUCGGAAUUACUGGGCGUAAAGCGCACGUAGGCGGCUUUGUAAGUCAGAGGUGAAAGCCUGGAGCUCAACUCCAGAACUGCCUUUGAGACUGCAUCGCUUGAAUCCAGGAGAGGUCAGUGGAAUUCCGAGUGUAGAGGUGAAAUUCGUAGAUAUUCGGAAGAACACCAGUGGCGAAGGCGGCUGACUGGACUGGUAUUGACGCUGAGGUGCGAAAGCGUGGGGAGCAAACAGGAUUAGAAACCCUAGUAGUCC
rnacentral:rRNA from 1 species